AUCACUGGACCCAGGUUAGGCGCGGGCUGGGCAGGCAGGCUGGACGAGUUGUGCGCGGUAUUGAAAAGUAAUUAUUGUUAUCAUGAAAAAUAAUAAUUAACUCGAAAAAAAUGUAAUGUUGUGAAACAUUACUUUUCUUAAUAUCAAUAUUUUUUUUUCUUAUGAUAAUAAUUACUUUACCAAAUAACUAAAAAUGAUGGCGUUUUCUUCUUCUUCUUUUUUUUCUUUUUGUUUUUUCUUGCAUUUAUUUAUUUUAUUUUAUUAUAUUUACUUUUCUUCUUUUUUUUCUUUUUAUGGCAUUUUUUUCUUCUUCUUCUUUUUCCUAUUUUAUUUAUUUAUUUUUACUUUUCUAAGAGCAUUACAUUUCUUCAUAUCAAUAAUUUUUAAAGACAAUAAUUACUUGACUAAAUAACUAAAAAAAAUAAAAGUACAAGUUCUUG
rnacentral:lncRNA from 1 species